AAAUUGAAGAGUUUGAUCAUGGCUCAGAUUGAACGCUGGCGGCAGGCCUAACACAUGCAAGUCGAACGGUAGCACAGAGAGCUUGCUCUCGGGUGACGAGUGGCGGACGGGUGAGUAAUGUCUGGGAAACUGCCCGAUGGAGGGGGAUAACUACUGGAAACGGUAGCUAAUACCGCAUAACGUCGCAAGACCAAAGUGGGGGACCUUCGGGCCUCACACCAUCGGAUGUGCCCAGAUGGGAUUAGCUAGUAGGUGGGGUAACGGCUCACCUAGGCGACGAUCCCUAGCUGGUCUGAGAGGAUGACCAGCCACACUGGAACUGAGACACGGUCCAGACUCCUACGGGAGGCAGCAGUGGGGAAUAUUGCACAAUGGGCGCAAGCCUGAUGCAGCCAUGCCGCGUGUAUGAAGAAGGCCUUCGGGUUGUAAAGUACUUUCAGCGAGGAGGAAGGCGUUGUGGUUAAUAACCACAGCGAUUGACGUUACUCGCAGAAGAAGCACCGGCUAACUCCGUGCCAGCAGCCGCGGUAAUACGGAGGGUGCAAGCGUUAAUCGGAAUUACUGGGCGUAAAGCGCACGCAGGCGGUUUGUUAAGUCAGAUGUGAAAUCCCCGGGCUCAACCUGGGAACUGCAUUUGAAACUGGCAAGCUUGAGUCUCGUAGAGGGGGGUAGAAUUCCAGGUGUAGCGGUGAAAUGCGUAGAGAUCUGGAGGAAUACCGGUGGCGAAGGCGGCCCCCUGGACAAAGACUGACGCUCAGGUGCGAAAGCGUGGGGAGCAAACAGGAUUAGAUACCCUGGUAGUCCACGCCGUAAACGAUGUCUACUUGGAGGUUGUGCCCUUGAGGCGUGGCUUCCGGAGCUAACGCGUUAAGUAGACCGCCUGGGGAGUACGGCCGCAAGGUUAAAACUCAAAUGAAUUGACGGGGGCCCGCACAAGCGGUGGAGCAUGUGGUUUAAUUCGAUGCAACGCGAAGAACCUUACCUGGUCUUGACAUCCACGGAAGUUUUCAGAGAUGAGAAUGUGCCUUCGGGAACCGUGAGACAGGUGCUGCAUGGCUGUCGUCAGCUCGUGUUGUGAAAU
rnacentral:rRNA from 2 species